rnacentral:piRNA from 1 species
UUGAUUCCAAAUGUGAAGAUCCAGGAGG